rnacentral:rRNA from 1 species
GAUGAACGCUGGCGGCGUGCCUAAUACAUGCAAGUCGAGCGAACAGACGAGGAGCUUGCUCCUCUGACGUUAGCGGCGGACGGGUGAGUAACACGUGGAUAACCUACCUAUAAGACUGGGAUAACUUCGGGAAACCGGAGCUAAUACCGGAUAAUAUAUUGAACCGCAUGGUUCAAUAGUGAAAGACGGUUUUGCUGUCACUUAUAGAUGGAUCCGCGCCGCAUUAGCUAGUUGGUAAGGUAACGGCUUACCAAGGCAACGAUGCGUAGCCGACCUGAGAGGGAGGUUCGCCAGACUGGCACUGAGGCAGGGCCCAGACUCCUACGCGGGGCAGCAGUAGGGAAUCUUCCGCAAUGGAGGAAAGCUUGACGGAGCAACGCCGCGUAAGUGAUGAAGGUCUUCGGAUCGUAAAACUCUGUUAUUAGGGAAAAAGAAAUAUGUAAGUAACUAUGCACGUCUUGACGGUACCUGAUCAGAAAGCCACGGCUAACUACGUG